AGUUUUUUGGCCAAGAGCCUAGAUGCCUUGUGUUUCCAAUAUAAUAUUUUACUGAACUUAACAUAUGCUAGAAGUUCAGUCAAGUGGGGGGGAAAACAAACAAACAAACCAGAAGCUUUUUUUUUUUUUUCCAGGUGAAAUCCUAUACCCCAAAUCACAGCCUUUUGCCAGUUGGCCAAUGUCACAGCAAAUUCAGUGCCUUGGCCAAGUGCUUGGCACUUCUAAGUGUCUGAGAGUGGCAGGUCCCUGGGAAGAACUGGUGCUUCUAUCUAAGAAAAACAGUCACGGCUGGGACAACUACAGGAGAAAAGUAAGGCAUAUAUGGAGGAUGAUAAAGAUGCCAGCCCAGAACAUGUACCACUAUUUCCAACAUCCUUAG
rnacentral:lncRNA from 1 species